AACAAGGAUUCCCCUAGUAACUGCGAGUGAAGCGGGAAAAGCUCAAAUUUAAAAUCUGGCGGUCUCUGGCCGUCCGAGUUGUAAUCUAGAGAAGUAAUGCCCGUGCUGGACCGUGUAUAAGUCUCCUGGGAUGGGGCUGUCAUAGAGGGUGAGAAUCCCGUCUUUGACACGGACUACCAGUGCAUUGUGGUAUGCUCUCAAAGAGUCGAGUUGUUUGGGAAUGCAGCUCAAAAUGGGUGGUAAAUUCCAUCUAAAGCUAAAUAUUGGCGAGAGACCGAUAGCGAACAAGUACCGUGAGGGAAAGAUGAAAAGAACUUUGGAAAGAGAGUUAAACAGUACGUGAAAUUGCUGAAAGGGAAACGCUUGAAGUCAGUCGCGUUGUCCGGGAAUCAGCCUUGCUUCUGCAUGGUGUACUUUCUGGUUGACGGGUCAGCAUCAAUUUUGACCGCUGGAAAAAGGCCUGGGGAAUGUGGCAGCUUCGGCUGUGUUAUAGCCCCUAGUCGCAUACAGUGGUUGGGAUUGAGGAACUCAGCACGCCGCAAGGCCGGGUUUCG
rnacentral:rRNA from 1 species